GGGUGAGUGGAAUAAUCUUUAAUAUGCAUAUAAUAUAAAUAAAUAUGUAUGUUGAUUAUACAAUGAGUACAACUAGUAAAUUUCUUGAAUAUUUAUAUAUGUUGCUUUAUUUUCCGAGUACUCAUUUAUUCUUGAAUUUGCACUCGCAAUCUAUUAAAAUAAAUUCUAUUUGAUAUGAUAUACGAUUCUUUGAUGAUUAUGUGAAUAUUUGUUAUGCCUUGAUAUGGGACUUGUCAGUACUCCAUGCUAACGGAGAAUAGUUUGCAUGUGUGCACAUAGUAUUCUGUAUACCUAGCUGGUGAGAGAGGCAUCAGCUUGUGGCGAUUGAUCAUCCCACAGUGGUCACCGACGGGUGUCAUCUGAUCUCUGACAUGUAAUCCACUACGUUAUGAUAAUAUGUUACGUUAUGAUAAUAUGUUUAGUAAGUAUAUGUAUAUAUAUAUAUAUAUAUAUUAAGAUAAAUCAUCUUACAAAUUAUUAAUAUCUGAAAUAUCUGAAAUGUAUAUUAAAUAUUAUUCCCUCACUGAGUUGGUUGAACUCACCCCUCAUUUUUUAAAUAUUAUUUCAGGUUCUUAGUUUCUGGGACUUUGUUGAGUGUUUCCGCUUCUUUUGUUCUGGUCGGUAUGCCUUGCUUGUUCGCGAGGCUUUCCUUUCAGUUUUGUUUUGAUGUCUUAAACGCUCCAUUGUUACCUUGGUUUAAUUAAAUUUGGAUUUUGACAAUGUAAAUAUAUUAUGAAUUAUUAUUUUGUUUUAAUAACUAUCUUUCGGUUUUAUCAGUUUUGAA
rnacentral:lncRNA from 1 species